rnacentral:rRNA from 1 species
GACUACAGGGUAUCUAAGCCUGUUUGAUCCCCACGCUUUCGUGCUUCAGUGUCAGUUGUAGCUUGGUAAGCUGCCUUCGCAAUCGGAGUUCUGCGUGAUAUCUAAGCAUUUCACCGCUACACCACGCAUUCCGCCUACCUCAUUUACACUCAAGUCUAACAGUUUCAACGGCAUUUUUACAGUUAAGCUGCAAACUUUCACCGCUGACUUAUUAAACCACCUACGCACCCUUUAAACCCAAUAAAUCCGGAUAACGCUCGGAUCCUCCGUAUUACCGCGGCUGCUGGCACGGAGUUAGCCGAUCCUUAUUCUCAGGGUACAUACAAAACAGGACACGUCCUGCACUUUAUUCCCCUGCAAAAGAAGUUUACGAACCAUAGAUCCUUCUUCCUUCACGCGACUUGGCUGGUUCAGGCUCUCGCCCAUUGACCAAUAUUCCUCACUGCAGCCACCCGUAGG